GAUGAACGCUGGCGGCGUGCCUAAUACAUGCAAGUCGAGCGAACAGACGAGGAGCUUGCUCCUCUGACGUUAGCGGCGGACGGGUGAGUAACACGUGGAUAACCUACCUAUAAGACUGGGAUAACUUCGGGAAACCGGAGCUAAUACCGGAUAAUAUAUUGAACCGCAUGGUUCAAUAGUGAAAGACGGUUUUGCUGUCACUUAUAGAUGGAUCCGCGCCGCAUUAGCUAGUUGGUAAGGUAACGGCUUACCAAGGCAACGAUGCGUAGCCGACCUGAGAGGGUGAUCGGCCACACUUGAACUGAGACACGGUUCAGACUCCUACGGGAGGCAGCAGUAGGGAAUCUUCCGCAAUGGGCGAAAGCUUGACGGAGCAACGCCGCGUGAGUGAUGAAGGUCUUCGGAUCGUAAAACUCUGUUAUUAGGGAAGAACAAAUGUGUAAGUAACUAUGCACGUCUUGACGGUACCUAAUCAGAAAGCCACGGCUAACUACGUG
rnacentral:rRNA from 1 species